ensembl:lncRNA
CCACCAUGUGAUCCCUGCAAGAGAAGACACCUGCAGCUGGUGUCCGAUAAGAUGAGUUUUUAUGGUUGAAACUUAAGACUGAGCUAGCAAGUAAGAAAUCCUAGUCAAUUGGCCAGCAGCGUUGUAAACUAGUAUAAGACUCUGUGUGUUAUUCUGGGCGCCCACGUGGUGGCGGGGCUUGGGCGGAUGGAGUAAAGACUUAUCGUUACAGUUAUAUGAUUAAGAUAUCCUCAUAUCUUCUCCAGAGGAGAGCUGCUUGUCCAGUCUCUCGAGAUCCUGCCUGUUUCUUCUUCUGCAACUUAGAAAGGGGUUUAUAGCUACGAACCAGACACCUGGGAGGAUUGUCUAGGAGUGGAAAGAUGUUUUAGGUGACAGUUUCACAGGGUUCAAAUCCUGCUCACCUGGUGUAGAAGCUUGGACAGACACUGCAUCAAUAGAAGUAGGUAGAGAUUGAGCUUCCCAGCAGCCUUACAGCAGACAGGAAUGAGGGCAGAGCAAACAUUGGUCUGUGGCCCCCACUCCAGUGGCCUGUCUCGGCCCCACCUCCCAAAGUAUCCAUUACUACCAAAAAUGCUGCCACCAGCCUGGACGAAACAGCAACACGCGACUGUGUGUAUGCCUGUGGGACUAUUUGAUGUUCAAAAUGUUUCAGAGGUCCAACUUCUUUAACAUGUCCUUUGGAUAUAUUGAAAUACAAAUCCCUUUCCUCACUUACCCAUUUUAAUUGCCCUAUGCAGAAAUCUGACUGAUGGUGUUUCUGCCCUCAAGAGGUCUAUCGUGCCCUUGGGAAGGUCUCCAGUCACUUGCCAAGAUGGUGCCUACAAUAGCCAGCUUAAAUUCCCACAGUACACCAAAGGCCCAAGUGAAGACAAGGAAUCCCCUUCCUUCGAGACAUCCUUCUUUUCUUGGUCAGGAACCCAGGUUCCUGAGAGUCUGCAGAGUCACCUCCCCCAGUCUUUACUGUAACACAUCUUCCCUGAUGACCUUCUGGUGUGGAAAUCCAGCUAGAAAUGAGAGCACUAACAGUUUUUUGCUGGGUGGUGGUGGCGCACACCUUUAAUCCCAGCACUCGGGAGGCAGAGGCAGGCAGAUCUCUGUGAGCUCGAGACCAGCCUGGUCUAUAAGAGCUAUUUCCAGGAUAGCCUCCAAAGCCACAGAGAAACCCUGUCUCAAAAAACCCAAAAAGCAAAAACAAAGAUAAAACAAAGCCACACACCCACCUGGGUUCUUGUGGCUUCUGCAGAAGCAGAUGGUUUCUGGUGGCCUCCCACGUGUGAAACAAACACUUGGUCACCUGUGCCCCUCUCGAACAUCUACCCCAGAUGAUCUUUCCUCAUUUUCCUAGUAUUAUUCUCACUGUCUCCAGUCUCUGGUGCAGUGUACAAACCCAGUGGCUUCUGGCUUGGAGACCGUCUGUAUAUGUCAUGUACACAGGCACGGGGAUAUUAAAUGUGCAGUGAUCCUCUUGUGUCCUCUAUCUGCAGAGGGUGAAGGGGCAAGCAGAACAGGGGGAGAGUGGAGACACGAGGAGACUGCCUUCACGCCCUUAAGUUUAGUGUAAUGCAUACCUUCAUUGUCAGCCAACUGCAUUUAAAAUAACCUAGCAGAGACAUCUUUGAGUUGUCUGGUUGUCAUUUCUACAGAGAUUUACUUUGGCGGGAAGACCCACCCUGUGCAUAGUGGUAUCAUCCAAUGGGCUGGCAUCCUGAAGUGAAUAAAAAGGGAAGAAGGAGAAAGCAAGAAUUCACCUCUCUCUGCUUAGUGACUGUAGAAACAAUAGGAAUAACUACCCCAUUCUCCAGCUGUAUUCUUCCCCCACCAUAACAAACUGUAUCCCUUUUACCUCAAUGGAUCGUUCCUGAAUUGCUUCAGUCAGGGAUCUUGAAACAUCAACAAGAAAAAGUAGCUAAUACAAGUGCCAGUCUCUGUGAUUCGUUUGGGGAUAGAACAUUCCUGCUGACUCACUCUAUUAGCUAAACGAUGGGGGCAGAUACACAAAUUCCCGAAGCGUCCUUCCUAUCCUAAUAGAUUCUACACCACAGGUCACAGAACCAACAAUGGGCCUCUGCCAACAUUAUAGCCUAUCUAUCCAUCUCAGAUAUACUUUCAGGAGACUCGACAGGUGACCCCAGCUUGGCUGCAUGAACCCACAGGACCCUCUGUGAGUCAGCAUUGGCCCAGUUAGACUUGUUCUUCUACCUUCCUCUGUAGACUGUCCCUUUGACCCGAGUGAUUUGGCUUCAACCUCACAUGAGCUCAGAAUUCGUGUUUGUCUGGAGCCUUUUGUACUUACCUUUCACUGCUCUCCAGAAAAUAAGUAUAUGGCCUAUACUGGGGUGUAUAAAAUGAUAUUUACUGUGUAUAUUUAUGGUGCAUCCUUGUGGGAUUUCAUUAACCUUCUGCCUACAGGGGCUGUAAGAAAUGAGAGUCCAUAGGUUAGAAGGCUCCUGCCUCCAGGGUUUUGUUGUAGCAGACUGAAUGAAUGGAUAAGGACAUCUUUAACACAGAGAGAAACAAUGGCGCUCUUCUGCCACACAGGAACAUCAGAAGAACAUUGAAAUGUCACAUUCUCCAACCUGUGUACUCCCAUGUUCAGGGGCCUGCUUUACACCAAUAGAGCAUUCAUCUUGUCUACUGCAUUAUUCUGUAAAGAGAUAUAAGCCUGACUUCCAGAACAGACUUCAUGUGACUGAAUGAGAUGAGAAUCUCCUUUUCAGCAGCAACUCCUUUCCCGAACAGCUUGAAAACCAAAGUCCCCCACAUAGCAUUGGUUCUCACCAUGUAGAUGCUUUGAAACUUGGGUCCCAGGACACACAUCCUUGCUCCUGAUGAGACUAAUCCAAUUGGAAGCAUCAUUCGACCAAGAGACUGUCUAUGGUAGAGGCUUGUGACCAGCUGGGAUAUUUUGGGGGUUUCUCUGUCCAGAAAGAAAGACAGAAGGUGAGAAUUGGGUUGGUACAGAACAACUCAAGCAGGCAUAGGCUAAUAUAUAAUCCUGUCUAUCAGAGUAACCAUCAUCAUAGCAACAUCCUAUAACUUCAAGUCUACUCAGUGGUCAGAGGGUUGGUUGGUUAUUGCUGUUGCUUUCUUUAAACAUGUCCUUGUGGUUGAGCAGGAGAUGAUAGAUAGAUAGAUAGAUAGAUAGAUAGAUAGAUAGAUAGGCCAUGAAUUAGGCAGCAUGUGAUGGGAUGUUCAUAUGGAAAGAGCUGGAGAGAUGAAAGACAUUGGGGAAAAUAGUGGAAUUGAUUUACAAUUUAAUUCCAUUUUAAUCAAAAAACUUAAGAGUACAACAAAGAUCCUUUAAUCAAGAGAGGCUUAGAACUGAAUCAGGACGGAUGGAAAAUGUUGUGAUGAGUGGGGAGGCACACAGAAACCUUAUCUGCAGCCUCUCUAUAGACUGCUGGAAGGAAAGCAACCUGAAGGGCAUGCACACAACUUGGAGGAAAAAUACAUAAUAACUAUGGCAAAACCCAAAGAUGAUGGUGACUUUCAGGCAUGGCUUGCCAAUCUGUGCCAGUUGAGCAUGAAGCUGAAUAUUGAAACUGAGCUCCUGUAGGUCUGGGAAGAUGGAGGAGAUGGAGCCCUUCUUCUACUACUGUUUGGAAAUACACAGUGGUGGGCUGAGUUUACUCUGGAAACAAAGCAACAUUCACCAGGAGUGAACCUGGAGCAGUUUCUGCCCCUUGACAGGGCCAGAGUUUGAACAGCUGGUUCUCUCUGCUGGGCUCCAGAAGGGGGUUGUGCUUCUGUUGUCCAAGCACAAAGUGUGAUUCAUGGACCACACACCAAACCACAAUCAGGGCUGUGAUGCUGCUACUCAAGGGAGCACAGAAUGCAUGUGCCAUGCAUGACUGGAAAGAUCACUUUCCAGUGAACACACCCCUGCCAGCAGAGCAAUCACGGAAGGACAAUAAUAACUCAGAGCUCGGGGUCGUCUGGAUCUUGACUAGACUACACCAGAGUACCACUGAUCUAUUGCAGGGAAGAGGUUCUUGGUUUGGCUACAGAUGGAGAAAACAGGUCACUGUCUGUCACUGAGGGACAUCAAGGCAGGACUCAAGGACCCAGAAGACAGAAACCAUGGAGGAGCACCACUGGAUGGCUUACUCUCUGGCCCAUGCUCAGCUAGCUUCCUUCUAUAGCCCAGACUACCUAUAGAGCUGUUAAAAGAAUUCCAUACAUGUAUAAGACCAAGCAAAUGAAGAAAGGAGGAGGAGGAGGAGGAGGAGGAGGAGGAGGAGGAGGAGGAGGAGAAGAAGAAGAAGAAGAAGAAGAAGAAGAAGAAGAAGAAGAAGAAGAAGAAGAAGAAGAAGCUAUCAAUUUGAGAGUGGGGGUAUAGAAGGGGUGGGUGAGAGGGAGGAGAGGAAAGGAAGAAAGUGAUGUAAUUCUAUUUCAAUUAAAAACAUUGUUUUUUUUUUUAAAGAAUCAGGAUGUUUUAAAAAUAUGAAGACACUAAGCCCACAAUAUUUUUAAAGGAAUAAAUUAGUGAAAAGAGGGCAGGCUCCUUACUCAGAAUCACAGCAUAGCUUGAAACACAGGAGAGUGAUCCACAGGCCGUCAUUGCAGAAUUCACUUCCUCCCCCGGGAAUUUGAUCAGUCUGAUUUUUGCAGACCUGAAAUACUCCAGGUUAUGUGCACUGGGCCUUCCUGGCCACAGCCUAUACCAGAUCUACAUCCUAAAUUCUCAGACUCCAUUGCCUUUGAAUAUUUUCACAACAAAGAGGGACAUCAAGUAGUAUAAACCAAAUAAUGCAGCUUCUGAGACCUCAAAAUGCAGCUUGGAUAAUUUAUGAUUUGUAUGGUAAUUUAUUUAAACAUCCUUCCUGCUAGACAAAUAAAUUGUUUUCAGAGUGGUUUCUAUUACAAAAAAUAAUACGGUGUGCUUAUAUAAGCAUGUAUGUUUAUCUUAAAAAAAUUUUUUUUUAAACUGGGAGCAAAAUAUCCUGGGGAAUAGUGGAAGUUUGAGAGACUGGUCCGGGCAGAUGGCACCACACUUCUACAGGCUUGCAUAGCACUUAAUAUCCCUUCCACACGGAUGCACUUUGCUUGCUCUGAAAACUUAAUUAAUGUUGUUGAUCAAUUAAUUGCAAGCAAGAGGGGAGGCAAAAAGCCUUGAGAAUGUCUGAAAUGCUGUUCUAGUAUGCCACAUUUACAUAUUACUCACACAGCAGGCACAGUUGAGGUGCCUCGAGUAAUAUUUGAGAACACAGUUAUGUACAUUGAAAGAAAAAAAAUUUAAAGGGCUUUAUAGGUCAAGAGGAGGCUAUUAAACAGAUUUCACAGAUUACUAAGUGACAGCGUUAGGAGUAGCAGAUGUGUAUUGGACUUACGUGGAACUUUUUAUUUAAUGUAAUUUAUUAAAUAUUAAAUAUAAC